AUACGGAGGGGGCUAGCGUUGUUCGGAAUUACUGGGCGUAAAGCGCACGUAGGCGGAUUAAAAAGUUAGAGGUGAAAUCCCAGGGCUUAACCCUGGAACUGCCUUUAAAACUAGGAGUCUAGAGUUCGAGAGAGGUGAGUGGAAUUCCAAGUGUAGAGGUGAAAUUCGUAGAUAUUUGGAGGAACACCAGUGGCGAAGGCGGCUCACUGGCUCGAUACUGACGCUGAGGUGCGAAAGCGUGGGGAGCAAACAGGAUUAGAUACCCUAGUAGUCC
rnacentral:rRNA from 1 species